GCCUCUAAACGACCGAACAAACGAAGCGCAUGUUGCUUCGACCGCGACCCCAGGUCAGGCGGGACUACCCGCUGAGUUUAAGCAUAUAAAUAAGCGGAGGAGAAGAAACUUACAAGGAUUCCCCUAGUAAUGGCGAGCGAACCGGGAGCAGCCCAGUUUGAGAAUCGGGCGACUGUGCCGUCCGAAUUGUAGUCUGGAGAGGCGUCCUCAGCGACGGACCGGGCCCAAGUCCCCUGGAAAGGGGCGCCUGGGAGGGUGAGAGCCCCGUCCGGCCCAGACCCUGUCGCCCCACGAGGCGCCGUCCAUGAGUCGGGUUGUUUGGGAAUGCAGCCCAAAUCGGGCAGUAGACUCCGUCCAAGGCUAAAUACAGGCGAGAGACCGAUAGAGAACAAGUAGCGCGAGGGAAAGAUGAAAAGGACUUUGAAAAGAGAGUGAAAGAGUGGUUGAAAUUGCCGGGAGGGAAGCGGAUGGGGGCCGGCGAUGCGCCCCGGCCGUAUGCGGAACGGCUUUUGCUGGUCCGCCGCUCGGCUCGGGGUGUGGACUUUUAUCGGCCGCACCGGCGGCCAAAGCUCGGGGGCCCUAGGUGCCCCUAGUGGCCGUCGUCAGCACGGCCGGUACCCGCGCGCCGAAAGGCGUGUCCCUCGGGGCACUGCGUGCAAUGGCCCGCGGGCUCCCCAUCCGACCCGUCUUGAAACACGAACCAAGGAGUCUGACAUGCGUGCGAGUCAACUGGUUCUAAAACCUGGGAUGCGCAAGGAAGCUGGCAAGCAGGAGGCCCUCACGGGCCGCACCGCUGGCCGACCCUGAUCUUCUGUGAAGGGUUCGAGUUGGAGCACGCCUGGCGGGACCCGAAAGAUGGUGAACUAUGCCUGAGCGGGGCGAAGCCAGAGGAAACUCUGGUGGAGGCUCGAAGCGAUACUGACGUGCAAAUCGUUCGUCUGACUUGGGUAUUGGGGCGAAAGACUAAUCGAGCCAUCUAGUAGCUGGUUCCCUCCGAAGUUUCCCUUAGGAUAGCUGGAGCCCGUUACGAGUUCUAUCAGGUAAAGCCAAUGAUUAGAGGCAUUGGGGAUGCAACGUCCUCAACCUAUUCUCAAACUUUAAAUAGGUAGGAUGGCGCGGCUGCUUCGGUGAGCCGUGCCACGGAAUUGGGUGCUCCAAGUGGGCCAUUUUUGGUAAGCAGAACUGGCGAUGCAGGAUGAACCGGAAGCCGGGUUAAGGUGCCCAACUGCGCGCUAACCUAGAACCCACAAAGGGUGUUGGUCGAUUAAGACAGCAGGACGGUGGUAAUGGAAGUCGAAAUCCGCUAAGGAGUGUCUAACAACUCACCUGCCGAAUCAACUAGCCCUGAAAAUGGAUGGCGCUGAAGCACGCGACCCACACCCGGCCAUCUGGGCGAGCGCCAUGCCCCGAUGAGUAGGAGGGCGCGACGGCCGCUGCAAAACCCGGGGCGCGAGCCCGGGCGGAGCGGCCGUCGGUGCAGAUCUUGGUGGUAGUAGCAAAUAUUCAAAUGAGAACUUUCAAGGCCGGAGAGGAGAAAGGUUCCAUGUGAACGGCACUUGCACAUGGGUAAGCCGAUCCUAAGGGACGGGGUAACCCCGGUAGAUAGCGCGAUCACGCGCAUCCCCCAAAAGGGAAUCAGGUUAAGAUUUCCCGAGCCGGGAUGUGGCGGCUGAUGGCGACGUUAGGAAGUCUGGAGACGCCAGCGGGGGCCUCGGGAAGAGUUAUCUUUUCUGCUUAACGGCCUGCCAACCCUGGAAACGGUUCAGCCAGAGGUAGGGUCCAGUGGCCGGAAGAGCACCGCACGUCGCGCGGUGUCCGGUGCGCCCCCGGCGGCCCAUGAAAAUCCGGAGGACCGAGUACCAUUCACACCUGAUCGUACUCAUAACCGCAUCAGGUCUCCAAGGUGAACAACCUCUGGCCAAUGGAAUAAUGUAGGCAAGGGAAGUCGGCAAAACGGAUCCAUAACUUCGGGAAAAGGAUUGGCUCUGAGGAUUGGGCACGGGGGUCCUGGCCCCGAACCCGUCGGCUGUCGGCGGAUUGCUCGAGAUGCUCACGCGGCGAGAGCGGGUCGCCGCGUGCCGGCCGGGGGACGGACCGGGAAUCGCCCCUUCGGGGGAUUUCCCCGAGCAUGAAACAGUCGACUCAGAACUGGUACGGACAACGGGAAUCCGACUGUUUAAUUAAAACAAAGCAUUGCAAUGGUCCUCGCGGAUGCUGACACAAUGUGAUUUCUGCCUAGUGCUCUAAAUGUAAAAGUGAAGAAAUUCAACCAAGCGCGGGUAAACGGCGGGAGUAACUAUGACUUUCUUAAGGUAGCUGUCGGUGUCAAAACCGGCUGAUCUCGGGUAGGGGGUCCCGAACUGUGCGUCUAGGCGGAUGGUAACAGGAGACAAGGGACACGAUGUUUUACCCAGGUUCAGGCCCUCUUGAUGGAGGUAAAACCCUAUGUCCUGCUUGAUUAAUAUUGAUGAUGUGUGUUACAAGAGUGGAUCUACCACGAGAUCAAGGAGGCUAAACCCUAGAAGCUAGCCUAUGGUAUGAUUGUUGUUCGUCCUAUGGACUACAACCAUCCGGUUUAUAUAGACACCGGAGAGGGCUAGGGUUACACAGAGUCGGUUACAAUGGUAGGAAAUCUACAUAUCUGUAUCGCCAAGCUUGCCUUCCACGCCAAGGAAAGACCCAUCCGGACACGGGACGAAGUCUUCAAUCUUCUAUCUUCAUAGUCUUGGAGUCCGGCCGAUCAUGAUAGUUCGGCUAUCCGGACACCCCCUAGUCUGGAACUCCCUCAGUAGCCCCUGAACCAGGCUUCAAUGACGACGUGUCCGGCAUGCAUGUUGUCUUCGGCAUUGCAAGGCGGGUUCUUCCUCCGAAUAAAUUAUAGAAGAUUGUGAACACCAGGAUAGUGUCCGGCUCUGCAAAAAUAAAUUCCACGUACCACCGUAGAGGGAAUAAUAUUACACAAGAUUAAUCUGCUGAUGUAUUUUGUGGUGUGAUGUCACGCCACUUCCAAGCUUUUACUCGAAUUGUUUUUAUUGUUCCACCUCAGCGCG
rnacentral:rRNA from 1 species